GAAUCUUGCGCAAUGGCCGAAAGGCUGACGCAGCGACGCCGCGUGGAGGAUGACGCCCUUCGGGGUGUAAACUCCUGUUGCCCGGGACGAAUGCCUGUUUCGACAGGAGUGACGGUACCGGGUGAGGAAGCACCGGCUAACUCUGUGCCAGCAGCCGCGGUAAUACAGAGGGUGCGAGCGUUGUCCGGAAUCACUGGGCGUAAAGGGCGCGUAGGCGGCUGGGUAAGCGUGUGGUGAAAGCCCGGGGCUCAACCCCGGGUCGGCCAUGCGAACUGUCCAGCUGGAGCACGGUAGAGGCACAUGGAAUUCCGGGUGUAGCGGUGGAAUGCGUAGAGAUCCGGAAGAACACCGGUGGCGAAGGCGGUGUGCUGGGCCGUGGCUGACGCUGAGGCGCGACAGCGUGGGGAGCAAAC
rnacentral:rRNA from 1 species